GAUGAACGCUGGCGGCGUGCCUAAUACAUGCAAGUCGAGCGAACGGACGAGAAGCUUGCUUCUCUGAUGUUAGCGGCGGACGGGUGAGUAACACGUGGAUAACCUACCUAUAAGACUGGGAUAACUUCGGGAAACCGGAGCUAAUACCGGAUAAUAUUUUGAACCGCAUGGUUCAAAAGUGAAAGACGGUCUUGCUGUCACUUAUAGAUGGAUCCGCGCUGCAUUAGCUAGUUGGUAAGGUAACGGCUUACCAAGGCAACGAUGCAUAGCCGACCUGAGAGGGUGAUCGGCCACACUGGAACUGAGACACGGUCCAGACUCCUACGGGAGGCAGCAGUAGGGAAUCUUCCGCAAUGGGCGAAAGCCUGACGGAGCAACGCCGCGUGAGUGAUGAAGGUCUUCGGAUCGUAAAACUCUGUUAUUAGGGAAGAACAUAUGUGUAAGUAACUGUGCACAUCUUGACGGUACCUAAUCAGAAAGCCACGGCUAACUACGUGCCAGCAGCCGCGGUAAUACGUAGGUGGCAAGCGUUAUCCGGAAUUAUUGGGCGUAAAGCGCGCGUAGGCGGUUUUUUAAGUCUGAUGUGAAAGCCCACGGCUCAACCGUGGAGGGUCAUUGGAAACUGGAAAACUUGAGUGCAGAAGAGGAAAGUGGAAUUCCAUGUGUAGCGGUGAAAUGCGCAGAGACAUGGAGGAACACCAGUGGCGAAGGCGACUUUCUGGUCUGUAACUGACGCUGAUGUGCGAAAGCGUGGGGAUCAAACAGGAUUAGAUACCCUGGUAGUCCACGCCGUAAACGAUGAGUGCUAAGUGUUAGGGGGUUUCCGCCCCUUAGUGCUGCAGCUAAUGCAUUAAGCACUCCGCCUGGGGAGUACGACCGCAAGGUUGAAACUCAAAGGAAUUGACGGGGACCCGCACAAGCGGUGGAGCAUGUGGUUUAAUUCGAAGCAACGCGAAGAACCUUACCAAAUCUUGACAUCCUUUGACAACUCUAGAGAUAGAGCCUUCCCCUUCGGGGGGGCAAAGUGACAGGUGGUGCAUGGUUGUCGUCAGCUCGUGUCGUGAGAUGUUGGGUUAAGUCCCGCAACGAGCGCAACCCUUAAGCUUAGUUGCCAUCAUUAAGUUGGGCACUCUAAGUUGACUGCCGGUGACAAACCGGAGGAAGGUGGGGAUGACGUCAAAUCAUCAUGCCCCUUAUGAUUUGGGCUACACACGUGCUACAAUGGACAAUACAAAGGGCAGCGAAACCGCGAGGUCAAGCAAAUCCCAUAAAGUUGUUCUCAGUUCGGAUUGUAGUCUGCAACUCGACUACAUGAAGCUGGAAUCGCUAGUAAUCGUAGAUCAGCAUGCUACGGUGAAUACGUUCCCGGGUCU
rnacentral:rRNA from 1 species